rnacentral:rRNA from 1 species
AGUGAACGCUGGCGGUAGGCCUAACACAUGCAAGUCGAACGGCAGCACAGCGGAGCUAGCUCCUUGGGUGGCGAGUGGCGGACGGGUGAGGAAUACAUCGGAAUCUACUCUGUCGUGGGGGAUAACGUAGGGAAACUUACGCUAAUACCGCAUACGACCUACGGGUGAAAGCAGGGGAUCUUCUGACCUUGCGCGAUUGAAUGAGCCGAUGUCGGAUUAGCUAGUUGGCGGGGUAAAGGCCCACCAAGGCGACGAUCCGUAGCUGGUCUGAGAGGAUGAUCAGCCACACUGGAACUGAGACACGGUCCAGACUCCUACGGGAGGCAGCAGUGGGGAAUAUUGGACAAUGGGCGCAAGCCUGAUCCAGCCAUACCGCGUGGGUGAAGAAGGCCUUCGGGUUGUAAAGCCCUUUUGUUGGGAAAGAAAUCCAUCUGGUUAAUACCCGGAUGGGAUGACGGUACCCAAAGAAUAAGCACCGGCUAACUUCGUGCCAGCCGCCGCAGUAA